AGCAAAUGAUGAGUUUAACUUCUGGUCCGUGUUGUUGAAUAACCAUGAUAACCCAGGAAGUGCUGAGCUU